GAUGAAGAACGCAGCGAAAUGCGAUAAGUAAUGUGAAUUGCAGAAUUCAGUGAAUCAUCGAAUCUUUGAACGCACAUUGCGCCCGCCAGUAUUCUGGCGGGCAUGCCUGUUCGAGCGUCAUUACAACCCUCAGGCCCCCGGGCCUGGCGUUGGGGAUCGGCGGAAGCCCCCUGUGGGCACACGCCGUCCCUCAAAUACAGUGGCGGUCCCGCCGCAGCUUCCAUUGCGUAGUAGCUAACACCUCGCAACUGGAGAGCGGCGCGGCCAUGCCGUAAAACACCCAACUUCUGAAUGGUGACCUCGAAUCAGGUAGGAAUACCCGCUGAACUUAAGCAUAUCAAUAAGCGGAGGA
rnacentral:misc_RNA from 1 species